GAUGAAGAACGUAGUGAAAUGCGAUACGUAAUGUGAAUUGCAGAAUUCAGUGAAUCAUCGAGUCUUUGAACGCACAUUGCGCCCCCUGGUAUUCCGGGGGGCAUGCCUGUCCGAGCGUCAUUGCUGCCCUCAAGCACGGCUUGUGUGUUGGGCCUCCGUCCUCCUCCCCGGGGACGGGCCCGAAAGGCAGCGGCGGCACCGCGUCCGGUCCUCGAGCGUAUGGGGCUUCGUCACCCGCUCUUGUAGGCCCGGCCGGCGCUUGCCGACACAUCAAUCUUUUUUCCAGGUUGACCUCGGAUCAGGUAGGGAUACCCGCUGAACUUAAGCAUAUCAAUAAGCGGAGGA
rnacentral:misc_RNA from 1 species